AUUGAAUUAACUGGAAUAGAUCCUUCAAUAAUAAUUUACAUCAACCGACUACCUCCUCCUUUAUCAAUGAUAAACAGUACUAGCUCAAGCUCCUCUACUGCUAGUAUCAGUCAAACCAGGAGAGAGACUGAAGAAGGUAUGGUUGAUAUUAACAUAAUAACACACUAAUCACUGAAUUUGUAUCAUUAAUAGGUUCAUUUAGAUCUGAUAUUGCUCAUAGAGUAAUGACAGAAUGUACUUCACUAGUAAAGGAUUGUGGGAUUGAUAUUCAUUUCUUAGUUGAUAAGUUGUUGGAACACAAAAUUGUAAACACAAGAGAGAAAAGACGAAUAGUUGCUCAAGAAAGUGAUGAUGAAAGAAUGGAUGAAUUGCUUCACAUCAUUUUGAGUUCUAUUCGUCUGGAUGGAGAAGUAUUUGGUAUAUUCUUAGAUAUACUCAGAGAGGAAGAUACUAGAAGGACUAUCAAACUAGCUGAUCAGCUAAUACAAAAAUAUUAUAAUAUUUAAGUAUUGUGCUUUAUUAUUAUUAUUGUUGUUGUUGUCAUUGUUUUGCUUAUAGUUGAUUUUAUCAGAGCAAUUGCUU